UACGGGGGGAGCAAGCGUUGUUCGGAUUUACUGGGCGUAAAGGGCGCGUAGGCGGCGCAACAAGUCACUUGUGAAAUCUCCGGGCUUAACUCGGAGCGGCCAAGUGAUACUGUCGUGCUAGAGUGCGGAAGGGGCAACUGGAAUUCUCGGUGUAGCGGUGAAAUGCGUAGAUAUCGAGAGGAACACCUGCGGCGAAGGCGAGUCCCUGGACAGAUCCUGACGCUGAGGCACGAAAGCUAGGGGAGCAAACAGG
rnacentral:rRNA from 1 species